ensembl:lncRNA
CGCAUAUGGAGGUUCCCAGGCUAGGGGUCAAAUCGGAGCUAUAGGUGCCAGCCUACACCACAGCCACAGGAAUACGGGAUCCAAGCUGCAUCAGCUUAGGGCAGCGCCAGAUCCCUAAUGCACUUAGCGAGGCCAGGGAUCAAACCCACAUCCUCGUGGAUUCCAGUGGGAUUCAGUUCAGCUGCACCAUGAAGGUAACUCCCCAGAAUCUGUGUGGCUCCGUGCCUGCCACCCAGUAGGGACUUGCUCAUCCAGCAUCUAUUAUUUAUUACAAACGCAAAUUGGGGGGGGGGGUAAGCGCACUGUGCAGUUUGCCCUGCUCCCUCUGGGAGUGACCCUGGGUGCACACUUGCCUAUAAAUUACUCCAGGAGGUUUGACAAACGGCUGCAGGAUCACCCUCGAGGCACUGCACCUUUCCUUGAGUAUCAGUGACCCCAAUUUCAGCUGGGGGGGGAUAAAUCUUCUUCCAUUUUAAUAAAAUUUCUCAGGAGUUAAUGGCAAGUAGGAAUGUCACUGGAGGAAGCCUCUGGAAACUGCAGAGCUGAGCGUGGGGAGUGUCCCAGGGGGCCAACCUCUGAGAAGAUGCCCGUGUACUGUGAUGGGGAACAUUUUGAACCUGAAACAGGAGGAAUGUGGUGGGGAAGGUGGGGCGAAUUCAAUCUCCUCAGCCUCCCCCACACAAAUCAAUCACAAAGGAAAUGGGCAUUUGAGGAAAAAGUUCCUUUAAAAUGUAUUGCUAUUUGUAUUUCUAUUACCUCAUCUCAUAAAUCUCGUUUCCCGCGUCCUAUGAUUCCUUGAGCAGAACAGCCCGGAUCUUUUACAGUCUCUUAAUGGGCUCAUUUUUUUUUUGACUCUUUGAGACAGACAAAGGAGCCUUGGAAUCCACCAGAUGGGAACGGGAGCAGGUUAGAGGACCAACUAGAGGGUCACUUCAGACGCAGAAAAGCUGAUGGGAAGCUGACCUUCCAGACAUCUUCAAGUUACUGAAAUUUUUGACUUCCCUUCUGAAGAAGAUUUCAAGGCAAUAAAAACAUAAUCAGAAGGUCUAUGUUAUAACUUACUUAAGACUGCUUUGUUUCAUGUUCAGCAUCCAUAUGUCCUGAAGUUUAUUCAACGGGUACUGUUCCCCCUAUUUUACUGUUCAAUUGUAUUUCAUUCCACUGUUUGGAUAGCAUCGAUGUGUCCACAAACUUCCCAUAUUUUAGCUACCAAAGGAUAUAAUCCAGUUUGCCUCACAUCCCCCACAUUAUAAAAAAUGCGAUAAUUUUUGGUUGAGGAAAUAAAACCAUUGCAAUAUACACCCUUUCUUUUGCAAAUGAGGAAAGUUGGAUCUUACUACAGGUUGGUGUCAGCACCAUGAGGCUGAAAUCCAGUUUUUCUGACCCUUGAUACAUCACUCCCUUCUCCUACACUAGGCAGCCAUCAUAUUCACUGCAAGCUCUUAAAAGCCUUUGUUCAAAAAAAGUUGAAGAAGCACUUUAAUCCCGACAAUAUAUCCCAGAACCCCCAGCCCUGUCUCGUUACAGAGAAGAAAAAUCAAGUUGAAUGCUAUGUACAUAAUGUCAUGGAGGCAUUCUCUUUAUUUUAUCGAUCUAAAUUUUUAUUUUUAAUUUUUUUAUUUUACGUGUAUAUGUGUCAUCAGCACAUCCUCUUCCUUCAAACAUGCAGAAUCAGGUCUGAUUGUUUUUGCAUCCACAGGAGGCUUAUUGCGUCAAGUCUUGGCAUCUCUACUUGAUUUAAAACAAAGCACUUUGUGGAGAUAAUAAGAUACUCAAAAGUCUUCUUGUCCAGGUCCAGCACCUGCCAUGUUCCAGGAACUAUACUAGCUAUUAGGUAUUAGAAGUUAAUAAAAAGUUGAAGGCCCUACCCUCUUAGAAUUUAGAGUUGGACUUAAGCAUCCUGAGCACGAGCGUCUAAGAAGGGCUCUUAGGCUGUCCAGGUCUCGAAAACCCAAGGUCUGGCACAGUUUAAUUAAAUGACCAUCCUUCCCAAUUAGCCGUGAAAAACACUGCUUGUAUAACUAUGUCAUUAUCACUUCCUGCCUGGAUUAGUGUAAUCCGUGAUAUGCAGGCCUUCUGUGCUCCAGCAUUUCCUCUGGGGAUUUGCAACUUUUGCAAAACCCGAGCUUUAGAAUGCAGGCUGGAGCCAAAAGUUCAUUACUCACUUCACUCCUAUGCCAAGCAAGCUUCAUGGGCUUCCUUGACAGUGCAGCACGCACAGUACAUGUUCUGUAGUUCAAAGGAUGAGCAGAAAGCUCUUCCCCAGACCUGGGGCUGUCUUGGCAGUUUAAGUACACACUUCUCUCACCCCAAGCAAAAGGUGGCAAGUGCCAGCCCCAGACAACAUAUGUGUUCAUCUCCUGUUGCCUGUCAAGAAAAAGCUAGAUGCUAUAGAAAUGAUUCAGACCCUCAGCGGGACUGGCUGGGCCCUUUCUUGCAACUCCACAGUUUUGUUUUUUAGAACAGCUACUCCCUGGGGGACUUCCUCAGGUAGGACAACGGUCUUUAGGACCACGAUGUUCAUUUUUUUCUAUCAGAAACUCACUUUUCUUUUUUCAGAAAUGAAGUAAUACUAGAGAUCAAGCAGAAAUAUUUCAGACAAGGAAGCGGAAGCUGAGAGAAGCAGAGAGCAUGCUUUAGCCAAGGUCACAGCUAGGAC